CCUACGGGAGGCAGCAGUGGGGAAUAUUGCACAAUGGGGGAAACCCUGAUGCAGCGACGCCGCGUGAGUGAGGAAGUAUUUCGGUAUGUAAAGCUCUAUCAGCAGGGAAGAAAAUGACGGUACCCUGAAAACAAGCCACGGCUAACUACGUGCCAGCAGCCGCGGUAAUACGUAGGUGGCAAGCGUUGUCCGGAUUUACUGGGUGUAAAGGGCGUGUAGCCGGGAAGGCAAGUCAGAUGUGAAAUCCGGAGGCUCAACCUCCGAAUUGCAUUUGAAACUGUUUUUCUUGAGUACUGGAGAGGCAGACGGAAUUCCUUGUGUAGCGGUGAAAUGCGUAGAUAUAAGGAGGAACACCAGUGGCGAAGGCGGUCUGCUGGACAGCAACUGACGGUGAGGCGCGAAAGCGUGGGGAGCAAACAGGAUUAGAUACCCCUGUAGUC
rnacentral:rRNA from 1 species